rnacentral:rRNA from 1 species
AACGAACGCUGGCGGCAUGCCUAACACAUGCAAGUCGAACGAGACCUUCGGGUCUAGUGGCGCACGGGUGCGUAACGCGUGGGAACCUGCCCUUAGGUUCGGAAUAACUCUCCGAAAGGGGUGCUAAUACCGGAUAAUGUCUUCGGACCAAAGAUUUAUCGUCUUUGGAUGGGCCCGCGUUGGUUUAGCUAGUUGGUAGGGUAAAAGCCUACCAAGGCGACGAUCCAUAGCUGGUCUGAGAGGAUGAUCAGCCACACUGGGACUGAGACACGGCGCAGAAUCCUACGGGAGGCAGCAGUGGGGAAUAUUGGACAAUGGGCGGAAGCCUGAUCCAGCAAGGCCGCGUGAGUGAUGAAGGCCGUAGAGUUGUAAAGCUCUUUUACCCGGGAUGAUAAUGACAGUACCGGAAGAAUAAGCACCGGCUAACUCCGUG